ACACAAGGGUGUUAUGAUCAAUAUUCCGAGGAGUGCUCGCCAAGGCUCAGCUUGAGAUACGGUAAAGACGGAUCUUAUCCAGAAUCCGUACGUGUUUGUCAAAGCAGCGGCGAGAACGAUGGAGAGAGUUCAACACAGACUCAGACUUUACUGGAGACAAAUGGAGGAGAAUGCACGGUGAAUAAUUUACACGGGCCAAAAAUAACAUCAAAAAAAAAAAAAAAAGACUGUUGUCAUCUUUCUGUAGAAUCCGGGAAACAAAAGCAACAAGGGAGCCUGAGUGAAUUGGCGAUACACAACGUGUAAAUCUUCCCAUUAAUCGAACGCUGGCGCUCAAGAGGUGAUGAUCUCAUUUCAAUUUACUGCCAUUGUACUUAUCAUGAAAUCUGCAGCUGUUUCAUGGAACACGAGGCUCGCUGGGGACCUUGACUGUUGAAUGACUGACUUGUGGAUUCACAGGUUGAUAGUAUCCAUCGAAUGGAAGAACGUUUCGUCAUUCUUCCUGUCACGAUAUGUCACCGCUUGCAGCAAAACACUUCAGUGACCGUUUUCACGUAAAGGUCACAGAUGACAAGUUUGUCCGACUUCAACUAACGCGAGGAUGUAAAUGAGAAUUCUAGCGGCUUCUCUUCACAGCGCGGCGGGUGACUCAUAGAUCAUUUUGAAGGUUAGUAUACAAGCUGUAUUACCAUAUGCGCAUCAUCAUAGAGUCCCGCGCAAUGUGCUUGUAAAAGACUUGGUGAAAGGUUUUUUUUUUGUUGUUGUUUGUUUGAUUAAUGGUACACCUCUGGAGACCUACAUGAAAGGCAUUCUAUGCACUCUGCUGCGGCUAAUUUAAUCGAUCUGGUUUGCGUGAAAAAAACAACAUUUCAUGAUUCGAACGCUCCCAUUUAAUCAUGUCAUUUUUCUUACAGUGCGUACUUUUCGGUAUUUAACUUUGCACGGGUAUCAAAGAGAGAUAAAGCUAAGUGGGAGCCAUUCAUCUGGAAGCCUUCAAAAUCAUUCAGUUUAGAUGAUGAAAAAAAAAGGGUCAUGACGCUAGAAUUAAAAGAAAGAAAAAAAAAAAAUUCUAACCUGACUGACACUUCAAAUCUACAUGAUCUGAUUUUGGGCAAUUUAAUUCUUGCAAUGUUGGGGUGGGCUCGUUUCUGUGCCCAGUGCACAAAGGAAGGUCCUUAGAGGUAUGCUCGUAUGAGUUUGCUGUGGAAUAACAUGCACAAAGAUCUCAAGCCAAGCAAACAGCUUUUAGUUGAACUAGAACUGAAAUGAUGAGCUCGGCCCUCUUUCAGGUCCAACAUCAGGGGAGUAAUUAAAAAAAAAAAAAAAUCACAACAA